UUUCCGUAGGUGAACCUGCGGAAGGAUCAUUAUUGGAUUUUGAAACUUCAGGCUGCUGCUGGCUCUCCUCGGAGGGCAUGUGCACGCUUGUUGUCCAUUAUUUCUCCCACUGUGCACAAAUCGUAGACCUUUCAGUAGGCCUAUGUUGUUUUUCACAAUCUCUGAAUGUAAUAGAAUGGUUUUGAAUCUUGGGAAAUACAAUACAACUUUCAGCAACGGAUCUCUUGGCUCUCGCACCGAUGAAGAACGCAGC
rnacentral:misc_RNA from 1 species